UGCCGGGUAGACAAAUCGGUAAAGUCGCCUGUCUCUGAAACAGGAAAUUAUGUAGGUUCAAAACCUACCCCGGCAGCCA
rnacentral:tRNA from 1 species